rnacentral:rRNA from 1 species
CCUGGCUCAGAAUGAACGCUGGCGGCGUGCCUAAGACAUGCAAGUCGUACGAGAAAGUUCUCUUCGGAGGAUGAGUAGAGUGGCGCACGGGUGAGUAAGACUUAGAUAAUGUACCCUUUCGCUGGGGAUAACCAUUGGAAACGAUGGCUAAUACCGAAUGGCUCUACCCUUUCUGUGGAAAGGGUAGAGAAAGCCGUAAGGCGCGAAAGGAGCAGUCUGAGUCCCAUUAGCUUGUUGGUGGGGUAAAGGCCUACCAAGGCGACGAUGGGUAGCUGGUCUGAGAGGAUGACCAGCCACACUGGUACUGGGACACGGACCAGACUCCUACGGGAGGCAGCAGUUAGGAAUUUUGCGCAAUGGGGGAAACCCUGACGCAGCAACGCCGCGUGGGUGAGGAAGGCCUUCGGGUUGUAAAGCCCUUUCAGUAGGGAAGAAAAAAACGACGGUACCUACAGAAGAAGCACCGGCUAACUCCGUGCCAGCAGCCGCGGUAAUACGGAGGGUGCAAGCGUUAUUCGGAAUUACUGGGCGUAAAGCGCGCGUAGGCGGUUUAGUAAGUCUGAUGUGAAAGCCCGGGACUCAAUCCCGGAAGUGCAUUGGAUACUGCUAGACUAGAGUAUCGGAGGGGAAGACGGAAUUCCUGGUGUAGAGGUGAAAUUCGUAGAUAUCAGGAGGAACAAACGGUGGCGAAGGCGGUCUUCUGGACGAUAACUGACGCUGAGGUGCGUAAGCGUGGGAGCAAACAGGAUUAGAUACCCUGGUAGUCCACGCCGUAAACGAUGAACACUAGGCGUAGGGGGCUCUUGCACCCUCUGUGCCGCAGCUAACGCGUUAAGUGUUCCGCCUGGGGGGUACGGCCGCAAGGCUAAAACUCAAAGAAAUUGACGGGGGCCCGCACAAGCGGUGGAGGAUGUGGUUUAAUUCGAUGCAACGCGAAGAACCUUACCUGGGCUUGACAUCCCGCGCUAUCCAGAGAAAUUUGGAGUUCCCUUCGGGGACGCGGUGACAGGUGCUGCAUGGCUGUCGUCAGCUCGUGUCGUGAGAUGUUGGGUUAAGUCCCGCAACGAGCGCAACCCUUGCCAUUAGUUGCCAGCAUUAAGUUGGGCACUCUAAUGGGACCGCUUGCCGAUAAGGCAGAGGAAGGUGGGGAUGACGUCAAGUCCGCAUGGCCCUUACGUCCAGGGCUACACACGUCCUACAAUGGCCAGUACAGACCGCAGCGAGACCGCAAGGUGGAGCUAAUCGGAGAAAACUGGUCCCAGUUCGGAUUGGGGUCUGCAACUCGACCCCAUGAAGUUGGAAUCGCUAGUAAUCGCGGAUCAGCAUGCCGCGGUGAAUACGUUCCCGGGCCUUGUACACACCGCCCGUCACGCCAUGGGAGUUGGGGCUGCCUGAAGAGGCUUAGCUAA